rnacentral:lncRNA from 1 species
CAGAACCGCCAACAGGUGUGGCGCCACUGUCGCACUCCGCCGCGAAACACAAGAUGGCGGUGCGACCGCGACGAACACACGGCGCGCCACGGCGGAAGAAAAAUAUUCCAAUUGCUGCAUCAGCCUUGCCAAUCACGCCCGAACUCAACGAAGAAAUGAUACGAAGCACUACUCCUGAAGUCACACACAAAACCUCAGAAGUUGUUACUGAAUCAUUAUCUUCAUCGACCA